rnacentral:rRNA from 1 species
AGAGCUCAAAUUUGAAAUCUGGCGUCUUUGGCGUCCGAGUUGUAGUUUAGAGAGGUGUUGUCCGCGGCGGACCUCGUACAAGUCCUUUGGGAUGAGGCGUCAUAGAGGGUGAGAAUCCCGUAUAUGACGAGGACUACCGUUGCUUUGUGUCGCACCCUCGAAGAGUCGAGUUGUUUGGGAAUGCAGCUCAAAAUGGGUGGUAAAUUCCAUCUAAAGCUAAAUACAGGCGAGAGACCGAUAGCGAA